AGCUCCAAUAGCGUAUAUUAAAGUUGUUGCAGUUAAAAAGCUCGUAGUUGGAUUUGUGGCUGUCGCGUGCGGCCUGACACUAGUGUUAGUGCUUGCUUGCGUCGCCAUCCUUGGGUGGAAUUUGUGUGGCAUUAGGUUGUCGUGCAGAGGAUGCCCAUCUUUUACUGUGAAAAAAUUAGAGUGUUCAAAGCAGGCUUAUGCCGUUGAAUAUAUUAGCAUGGAAUAAUAAGAUAGGACCUUGGUACUAUUUUGUUGGUUUGCGCACCAAGGUAAUGAUUAAUAGGGACAGUUGGGGGUAUUCGUAUUCCAUUGUCAGAGGUGAAAUUCUUGGAUUUCUGGAAGACGAACUACUGCGAAAGCAUUUACCAAGGAUGUUUUCAUUAAUCAAGAACGAAAGUAC
rnacentral:rRNA from 1 species